GGCUCCAUGAUGUAAUGGUUAGCACUCAAGACUCUGAAUCUGGCGAUCCUAGUUCAAGUCUCGGUGGAACCU
rnacentral:tRNA from 1 species